rnacentral:rRNA from 1 species
UACGUAGGUGGCAAGCGUUUGUCCGGAUUUAUUGGGUUUAAAGGGUGCGUAGGCGGCCUUAUAAGUCAGUGCUGAAAUAUCCCGGCUUAACCGGGAGGGUGGCAUUGAUACUGUAGGGCUUGAGUGUAGUCGAGGUAGGCGGAAUUGACGGUGUAGCGGUGAAAUGCUUAGAUAUCGUCAAGAACACCGAUAGUGUAGACAGCUUACUAGGCUACAACUGACGCUGAGGCACGAAAGUGUGGGGAUCAAACAGG